UUACUUUAAUUUUUGCAUGAUGGUGGUUGUGGUGUGUUGAAGGUUCUACUGACGACACAACUUCUUUACAUUUGCUCCAAGUGCCUUGGCCCUCUUCUUAUGGUUUACAUUCUCCACAUGAGAAAUUCCAGAAAAAUAACAGUAAUUUCUAUACAUUAUCAACCUUCUGAGGUGUAACAGAUAAAAAGUCACAAGCUAUCCAACCCUUGUCAUAUCAUUUUGAGUUGUUAGCAAGUGAUUAGCAGCAGUGAGCUGCACGCGCAAUGACAUGGCAUUGAAUUAGUUUGAGUUGUCCUGUUUCCUCGACGUGGUACUUAAACUGAUAUAUUUUAAGAUGCAUAAAUUCUCUUAUACUAACACUUGCCAUAUAUAAAAAUCCAGUAUGACAUAAACAGGUAGCUAAGAGGGCGACACUUGCUGCCAAUAACGUCAAAUUUAUCUCCUAACAUCAAAAUUAAAAUGUAGAAUCCAUAUUACAUAAUAGGCAAAAUAAGUCUCUCUAACAGUUGAAAGGCGUCACCAACAACAAUAAAGCAUUUUCCCUAAAUGAUUCAUAAAAUAACUAACACAAAAAGCAGACGAAAAUAAUACGUUAAGUAUAAAUGAUGAACCAAUAGAAGUUCCAAGAAUGUCUGUUAUAGGCCCUUGUUUUGCCCUCGGCCACAUCUCUAUCACAAAGGUAUAAAUAAUCAAAAUAUGAGAGGGAAUAAGGAAUUAAUUAACAUGAUAAAAGAGAAUAAGUUAAGUGUUUCACCAAAGUAGUUAAACACAUACAAAAAGCACUUGAAAUCAGAA
rnacentral:lncRNA from 1 species